GCCAGGGUAGCUCAGUCUGGGAGAGCACUCGGCUGAAGACCGAGCUGUCGUCGGUUCAAAUCCGGCCCCUGGCA
rnacentral:tRNA from 1 species